rnacentral:rRNA from 1 species
UACGUAGGGUGCGAGCGUUAAUCGGAAUUACUGGGCGUAAAGCGUGCGCAGGCGGUUCGUUAUGUCCGAUGUGAAAGCCCCGAGCUCAACUUGGGAAUGGCAUUGGAAACUGGCGGGCUGGAGUGUGGCAGAGGGGGGUGGAAUUCCACGUGUAGCAGUGAAAUGCGUAGAGAUAUGGAGGAACACCGAUGGCGAAGGCAGCCCCCUGGGCCAACACUGACGCUCAGGCACGAAAGCGUGGGGAGCAAACAGG